GGUUGCGAUCAUACCAGCACUAAUGCACCGGAUCCCUUCAGAACUCCGCAGUUAAGCGUGCUUGGGCGAGAGUAGUACUAGGAUGGGUGACCCCCUGGGAAGUCCUCGUGUUGCUACCC
rnacentral:rRNA from 1 species